rnacentral:rRNA from 1 species
CGAGAUAAUAGUAAGGGCACACGGUGAAUGCCUUGGCGUCAAAAGGCGAUGAAGGACGUAGCAGUCUGCGAAAAGCUUCGGGGAGGCGACAAGCAACCUUUGAUCCGAAGAUCUCCGAAUGGGGAAACCCACCUUGAUGGAAGAUCAGGGUAUCCUGUCUAAAGAACAGGAGGAUAACCCGGUGAAGUGAAACAUCUCAGUAGCCGGAGGAAAAGAGAACAAGAGUUUAUUCCCGUAGUAGCGGCGAGCGAAAUGGGAAGAGCCAAAACCAGAAGAAUUC